rnacentral:misc_RNA from 1 species
ACUGAAACGAUUGUUGUGCCCCUGGCGGUCGCUUUCAAUGCCU